GAUUUAGACAGGGAAAAGGGGGUCACUUUAAAGAUUCGUCCUUCUCCCUUGUUUUCCGUUUAAAGUCGAGUCGGGAAACUUGUCUUGUCAAGAGAUUUUGCCUGGCUAAACACGGCCCCUUCCCCCAUCUGUAACUCAUUCCCCCUCUCACACACACACACACUUGCUGUGUAUGACCUCGAGGUCACGGUGAAGUGACUUUGAGCCUUGUCUAACUGGGCCUCUUUGAGAGCAGCCCUCGCAUUCCUGCUCACUCAGACAGUCCAUGCGGCGCUUGUUACCAGCGCCGGGGAGGAAGUUUCUGCCGGUAGGGAUUAUGCGCAGUUUCCUCAGCCCGGGAGCUUCGGCCUUGUCCCCUCCCACCGCCGAAAAAAGCAGCGAUUCCACAAAACGAGCAGGAGGGGGAAAGCGGUGCGCCACAAACUUAAACCUGCUCUUCUCGCCACCAGGCAGUGCCCGAAGGUUUCUCCUCGCACUUGCUUUUUAUAUAUUUCUAUAUUUUAAAAACAUAUCUCGAGCUCUGCUUGCGCACCACGGUACGUUUUUCAGUAGGAAACAUCCAACGUUUCGGCCAUGUUCGCAGCACCGUGGUACAGAAGUGCAUUGUAUUGGGACCCGAGUAAGGAAGGAGGGAGCGAGGGAGGAGGAGGAGGAGGAGGAGGAGGAGGAUGGUGGUGCUGGAGAAGCACACAGCUGCACGGCACACAGAAGCCGGUUUCCCAACCCUGACAGCAAGGGAGCGAGGGAACAAGGGGCCUCGCUUCAGCAGCUCCAUCCAGGAGAGAGAUGUUCUUUCUUUCUUUCUUUCUUUCUUUCUUUGUAUUUUUUAUUUUUUUUAAACCGCUCUGAAAUACAGAAUGGAUCAGGACGAGAAAGCGGAUUCUUUUCCCUUGUCCGUGGCUGGCUACUCUUAUCCACUACAGUGAGUACAACUCUCCUGUUCUGUCCCUCGCUCGGCUAAAGUUGCCUGGAUGCACCGCACACACACACACACACACACACACACACACACACUCUCUCUCACUCUCACUCUCCCUCACACACACACACACACACACAAAAGGCUGUUCUGUAUUUCAAGCUGGAAAAAAAUCCUCACAACGAUACCCGGGAGUGUUUUUGCAGAAGUGUGCGUUUGUUUACUCUUUCCUGCAGAGAACGAGGUUCGAGAUCUACAUGAGUGGUUUUUAAAAAAAAAUUUCAGUCUACCUUAUCAUUUUUGGCAGGGUUUUGGUAAAACGAGGGCUUUGUGCUGUUUGAAUGCCUUCUGUGCUGCCUGUUCAUGGCCCUAAAAGGAUGUGUGUGUGUGUGUGUGUGUGUGUGUGUACAUAGUGAAAUAGAGAAUCCAAUCAGAUAUAACGGCUGAUCAUAAAUCUGCCCGAGGCCUGCACGACGUGCAUUUCGUACACAUCCUGCUGUAAUACCUUUUCAUGUACAUUUUUCCUGCGUUUCACAACUUCACUUCGAAACGCGCACACGAUUCGAACUUGGCAACGGACGAGGGGGACUUUUCGGAAACGAGCGUACAUUGCACUGCCUGAGCAGUUGCGAAACUAAGUGGUUUCCUCGCUCCUGCAGAGAAUUGGACAUAGGUUUUCUUUGUAAUAGGAAAUGUGGUUUGACUUGGCGCUGCUUAUAUACCAAGGUCGCUCCGAAUUCAGUUCACUUAACUUUGUGCUCUGGAUAUUUCUGAAGUUGUUCCAUGGGGGGGGGAUAUAUAAAGGUAAUGGGUUUCCAUAAUAACGUGCGGUCUUUCAGAAUCGGAAAUUGGACAGGGAAAAUAUUAAGGCCUGAUAACCUGCUUUCGGGAGUUUGUUCUGUUCAGGGCAGUGCGACGAGCGGGCGUGCGUGCGAUACGUUUCCGGAGCCGUGCUACAUCAGGAAUAGAAAGUUAAGAAGUCACCUUGUGCAGCAUGCAGGUUUGGGUACACCUUACGUGCUGAUGUUAUCGCCUGAUGUAAAGCGACGCGUUCUCCUAACUGAAGUCUGUGACUUUCCCCAGAAGUCAUCCUGGUCGACCUAAAGGCUUUUCCACGUCGGCCAUGCAUAAGUCAUGUAGCGCUACCCUUGCGGCAGUGUGUGUGUGUGUGUGUGUGUGUAAGUCACGUGGUAGGGUGUGCAGUAAGGAAAGCACAGCUGGUAAGUUCUGCAUAUACAGAAGACUCACAGACACACACACACACACACACACACACACACACAUACAUACAUACAUACAUACAUACAUACAUAUAUAUAUAUAUAUAUAUAUACACAUAUAUACACUGUUCACAUUUGUCUUAGUGUCCUUGUGAGGACCGUCCAAUGAGGACCAGCCAAAUGUCCCCGCAAGGUCAAACCUGCCGGAUAUUCUUACCCUUGUGGGGACCAAGAUAUAAAUGCAUGCCCACACACACACACAUGUUAGGACAUGCAUACAAUUAUGCACACACAGAGUACUACAGUCCUAUAUACAAUGUGUAGAAACAUACACACACACACACACACACACACCCAGAGAGGCCUAUAACUUCCAUAAUAACACAAACUUAAUAAGUAUAACUUAUUCUGUGGGUCCUUUAAUUCAAUGCCAUAUAUAUAUAUAAUGUGCUUAUACUGUAAAGCUAAUAAAUAUGAAAUAGAAAAAUAAUAAAAUAAUAAUUUAUACAUAUUUCAACGUGUCUUUGAAAUUUCAAAAUGAUCAAUAAAGUAUAAUGGAAAUAAUCCUUUUCUGUCUCUCCUAAUGUGUUGAUGUAUUGUUCGUUAUUUUGAGCGUGUUGUGUCACUACAUGUCCUGGUGUCCAUCAACUUCACAUCCAAACAUCACACAAUAAAGCCCGUCAUUUUCACCGUGUCGUUUGAAAUUCUGAACCUUCUGAACUUUGAACCUCGUUAUGUUACUUGCUAAUGCUAGGUAGCCAAGCAGCACGAUAUUGAGAGAACUAGCCACCCUGCAAGAAAAUUCGGGAUACCGAACCGUACCUUUCCUGUAUGUUGGUGGUGUGGUGACGCUAAUAGUUUGUAUCUUUCACCUAGAAAUGUUGAUAUGGUGUACCUUUAAAUAAAGGCACGUAAAUGGAUUUUAAAGUUACACUACGUGUGUGUGUGUGUGUGUUGAUACACAAUGUAUAUGGGACUGUAGUACUCUGUGUGUGCAUAAUUGUAUUUAUGUCACAACGUGUGUGUGUGUUUGUUUUUUGUGUGCAUAAUUGUAUAUUAUAAUAGUGUGAGUGUGUUACAGUCUGUACUGCACUGUAUUGCUCAGUGUGUGCUUAAUUGUUUGCAUGUCCCAACUUGUGUGUGUGUGUGUGUGUGUAUGUGUGCACCUGCCUCAGAUGUAUAUCUGCAUACAAAUGUGUCAUGUAUAUCAUUUGUGUGUGUGUGUGUGUGUGUCCACACUGUCAUGUGUGCACAUGCAUCUACAUCAAAAUGCAUGACUGUCCGUUAUGCUUUGUGUCCUUGCAUCUGUGUGUGUGUGUGUGUGUGUGUGUGUGUGUGUGUGUGUGUGUGUGUGCUUUCAUGUGUGCAUGACAGUGUGCAUGUGUAUGUGCUGUCAUAUAUGUGACUGUCUGGUUGUGUGCACAACUUGGGGGUGUGUGUGUAUGUGUGUGUAAAAGUGUGUGUGUAAGAGAGAGAGAGAGAGAGAGAGAGAGAGAGUGCACUCAAUGCACCCUCUCCCCCUCCUCCCGAGCCGAGCGGCCCAUGCUGCAGAUAUCAUCCAUCUCCCUGUCACUGUGCGCCGGGGCUGCUGGGAAGGCAGCAGACAGCGUCUCAGUGCCGAGGACGGGAGCUGAAUUCUAAUUCAGCCACCCAGGACGGAAAAUCGUUAACCUUGCAAUGUGGGAACAAAGCAGAGGGGCUUAGGCAGUCGCGCUGUCCCUCACCAGCCCGCUCCUAUUAACGCCACACACAUCUCCCGGUCUGUGCAUUACUCAAACCAAAUUCCUGGGGAGAAAUCGCGUGAAACACGUCUCACAGCCUCAUUCCCAACAGCUCAUAGACUGCAUCUUUAAAAUCUGUAAAAAGGGACCACAACAUUAAGUGAGUUGGAUUUGCAGCUAAGACAGCUAAACGUGGGCGGACGCCAUCUCCGCAGCCGCUCCAGUGUGCCUGUGAAACCAACGAAAUGAUCUCUUAUCCUGCGAAAACCUACAAAAGCGAAGCUCUGUGCUAUACGACAUGAUCUGGAAGAUCACAGAAUCUGGUUUUCUGUGGGCGUUUUGGGAGUAGCCCUUUCCAACGCCAGCAUACGUCGAGCUAACUCGGACGACUGCGUAAACGACUUCAAAGACAACAAACCGGGGAGUGUCGAGAUUUCAAUUAUAAUCAAUUAUAAUUAAUUACCCGGUCCUGCUCAUUUAACGCCGCGUAGUUCUAACCUCGAUGAAUUGCAGACGCUGAGUUAGCACCGUGAAUCAGCAACCGUCCGAACUUGUUUGCGCUUUGGCAGGCUGCGAGCCAAGUCUAACGUCUCCUUCUGCUAAAGCUAACACCACCGCCGCUAUCACGUGUCUCAGACUUUAUAUAAACCAGCGAUCCGAUAUUCGCGGCUCGUGUUGAUACAAGUCUCCAAAUUCUUUGCUCAAGUAAAAGUGCGACUUACGUAAACAAAUCCUCAGCUAAAAGCUGAAAUACAGCAUCAGAGUCUUCAGUCAAAGUAGAAAACGCUUAUAUUUUCCUCAAGUCUUCAAAGGAAGGGAAAUCGGAAGCAGGAAGAAUCCCAGAAGGAGACGACGCUUGCCUUCAGUCUGAUUCGUUUCAGAACCGAGGAACGUGGGAAGACGGUAUCUAAAGCUAACGAACCAACUACAACCUCUCAAAUGUUAGCUAGGAUAAUAUUAACUCUAUACAAAGCGUACGCAGAAGCAGAUAGAUUACCGUGUCGGGUGUUAGUUCUCAUUCUCUCGGUCACAUGAUUGCUGCUUUCCAAUCAAAAAACGUCAGCUUAAAUCUUUACACAUAUAUGAUUAUAGAGACAUGCAGGGAUGUCGUGUUUGAAAGAUAUUAAUGUAUGAUUUUUGUUUUCUACUGAAACGUAGAAGGUGAGAUACGUUCGGAAAAACCGGACUUAAGUAUAGUCGCAGUGUAAUGAUUAUUUCCCACCUCUGUGUAUCGAAGGAACACCGUUGUUUUCCCCCCCAAGACUGAUGUAUGUAACAAUGUUGUUUCUGUUUGUUCUCCAGUGAAUCCAUAACUCUACCAAAUCCAGACUUUUAUCUUCCAGAGAACGUCCCAUCCAUGAUUUAUUCCCACCUCGCCGGAGUUCCUGGGAUAGACUCUGGAUCCAGGACAAUGACCAGGAUAAAGCGCUUACUGAAAACCAAUGAGUGAACCUUCUAAAACACAAACCUACAUUUAAAGUCAAAACUGACGCAGUGGUUCCUAAACCCGGUUCUGGAGUAUCCGUUCUCCUAACAUUCCUGGUCCAACAAAACAGCUAAUUAACCGACGUGUCUGAGAAAUGAAAAUAUAUCGACGUCUUGGUGUCAUCGACUUGUUGUUUUCGGAAGAACACGCCACAGGUUUAGCGUCCUAUUUUAAGGGAAUCCAAAUCUGUCCCGUGUCUCCCGAGUUCUCCGAGUCGUCCUUCCGUACGCCGAUGUGUGUGGAUUCGUGUUGAGAGAAAACACCGUUCAUUAAACGACUUGGAUUCGUAACCCAGAGAGACGCGAAGCCGAAACAGCGGCAUAAACGUGGGCGGAAUGCCGCCUCUGAGGUCGCUCCCCGACAAAAUGAUCUCUCGUCCUCCGAGAAGAGACCAAAGCCGGGCAUUGUUAUAUGAGACGCUAAAGCUCAGAACUGGUGCGCUAGGAAGAUAUUGUGAGCCUCGGUCUGGUUUUAGAAGACGAGAAACAGGAGAACGUCAAGGUCAGAGUGUCUUUUCGGAGUCGGAAUCCUGCUCGUUUGACGCCGCGUGACCUUAGUAAAUUACAGAAGCACUAUGACUCAGCAGAGGUUCUUCAGCUCGUCUUUUUCUCGAACCGUGGCUCUCGUUUAGCAUCUCAUUUUCACUGGAGAUAAUCUCAAGGCCACUGUGUAAUGUCACUGAGUUUGUACAAGCCCCAUUUCCCCUCCAGCGGUCUGUUUGUUCAGGCUUCGUGCUCGCACUGAGCCGAUAUCUCACUGCUCUUCUCUGUAAGAGGGCUGUUUUUUUUUUUUUUACAGUGUUGUCGCAGGCCCGAGUCAGGGUUUUGAACCCGAAGGACCCUUGUGGGCGCACAGGCCUGGGAAACCAGAUCCGCACAAAAGGCGACUUUUAAUUCGGAAAGGGGGGGCAGGGGAGAGUUGAUGUGUAUGUGUAUGUGUGUG
ensembl:lncRNA